rnacentral:rRNA from 1 species
GACGAACGCUGGCGGCGUGCUUAACACAUGCAAGUCGAACGGAAAGGCCCUGCUUUUGUGGGUUGCUCGAGUGGCGAACGGGUGAGUAACACGUGAGUAACCUGCCCUUGACUUUGGGAUAACUUCAGGAAACUGGGGCUAAUACCGGAUAGGAGCUCCUGCUGCAUGGUGGGGGUUGGAAAGUUUCGGCGGUUGGGGAUGGACUCGCGGCUUAUCAGCUUGUUGGUGGGGUAGUGGCUUACCAAGGCUUUGACGGGUAGCCGGCCUGAGAGGGUGACCGGCCACAAUGGGACUGAGAUACGGCCCAGACUCCUACGGGAGGCAGCAGUGGGGAAUAUUACACAGUGGGCGGAAGCCUGAUGCAGAAACGCCGCGUGCGGGAUGACGGCCUUCGGGUUGUAAACCGCUUUCGCCUGUGACGAAGAGUGAGUGACGGUAAUGAGUAAAGAAGCACCGGCUAACUACGUG